CUUGAGAGUUCCACUCGCUGAUUCUGCCACCUGAGGAGCAUGGCGUCUCCGAAUACAAGGCAUUUCAGCUCAACUCCCUCACCCAGAAUCCUGCAGCUCGCUCGGCCCCGAGAAUCUAAAACAGUUUGGCUCACAACUCCACAGAAGGUGACUUGGGGCAACCAGGAGACAAUAUGGUCGCCAUCCAGGACAGCAUUAAUAGCCGUACCAACAACAAGGAUUCUGGCUCUGUCACAACCCAAAAAAGAUUUGUCUGCCCUCAGUCAAGACCUGCUUAGGAAAAAGCACGAGGGGAUUGAAGAAGCAAAGAAGAGGAGCGCGUGUGUUCCUUCCAGUACAGCACAGUACGAACAUGUCGCGCGCCUGGCAACCCCAAAUGUUCGUCACAGGAGCUCCCAGGCAGUGAGCCCCCCUCAUACAAAGCAAUGUGAGCACAAUUGUCCUGUGUGGCACAUCAGCCCUGUGGUGCAGAAUGCUGUGGCCUCUCCACGCAUUCUCCAGCUUGCUCAGCCCAGAAACACACACCCUGAGUACAAGAGCAACCGCCAGGUAGAAACAUGCAUCUCGUGUGCAGCUAAAUCAGCUCAGGCGAGUCCAAGGCUUGAGCAGCUUUGUGUGCCCAAAGUGCGAGAGAGCAAACUUUUCUACCAGCUUGGCCAUCCUGAGAGUACCAUCAGGCCUGUGUCUAAAGGAGCAAGAAAAGCCACAGCAAGCACUCGCGUGAGAGAGCUCUCGAUCCCAAAGAGCUAUAUCCCUCCCUGAAAAAAAGAACUAAAGAGACAGAGACCUCAUAAUCAGCAGCGUUACUGUCAUAGUUAAAGAACAGAGAGAGUGAAAACAAGAAUAACAGAUGGACUUAAUAAAUGACCACACUAAUAAGCAUAUAAAAGGGUUUCUAUAUUUUUCUUUUCUCUUUUGUGCUUUUGCUGUCUGUAGGCCUCAGACUUUACCUUGGAACGUUUCAGUCUGAAAUGGGAAAGGUUGUGUUAUUUUAAGCAAAAUGCCAGAAUGGUAAACACUGCAAACAGGAUAACUUUUCUCAGUCGAUCAGUGUGUCUUUUGUGUGUUUUUCACAUCAGUUCACACAGCUUUAGUUUCGGUUACGCAACAAGAAUGAAGAGUCGGUGUGUGUGGGGGGGGAACGUUGCAACUCAAACACAGACCUUCUUUAAUAACUUUACAGAGUAAACUGCUUCUGUGUGUGAAUGUUGAUCCCAAUGACAUUUCUGUAUGUGAUAUAAGUAAGGAAUAAAAGAGGACGGGUCAUACUGUUGUAGGAAAGUAAUCAAUGACAGGGUGGUGCGAUGCAGCCAAUGUGAAGAGUUUUAUUCCUCCCAUACCACAGCAAUUUGUCAACACUAACAAUUUCUUUGAUUCAUUAUAGAACAUGUUGUACAUGUUGUAAAAGGAGACUCCUUUUAAAACUGCUAAAUAAACAUCUCCUCACAGAGAACAUCAAAUCAGCAAUUACACAAUUUAAAAAAUAAAAUAAAAUCUGUUUACUUGGCACAUACACCAUACAAAUUCUGUCAGAGCUGCUAUUGUAGAAAAUUAAUCAACACCCUCUGACCAGUCAGAAUCAUUUUGCCUCCACCUAUUUGUUUUGGAUUAUUUCCUUAAUUCCUAAGGAAAGUUUUUUUCCCGCCAGUUAUUUUGUCUUUCACUUCAUGGUCAUAUGGUUUUGUGUAAUUGUAUAAUCUAUUUUCUUCCAUUUGUUUUUAGUGUUUAAAAUAAACAACAAC
ensembl:lncRNA